UGCCAGCCGCCGCGGUAAUACGGAGGGUGCAAGCGUUGUUCGGAAUUAUUGGGCGUAAAGCGCGUGUAGGCGGUUCGUUAAGUCUGAUGUGAAAGCCCGGGGCUCAACCCCGGAAGUGCAUUGGAAACUGGCGAACUUGAAUACUGGAGAGGAAAGCGGAAUUCCUGGUGUAGAGGUGAAAUUCGUAGAUAUCAGGAGGAACACCGGUGGCGAAGGCAGCUUUCUGGACAGAUAUUGACGCUGAGGCGCGAAGGCGUGGGUAGCGAACGGGAUUAGAUA
rnacentral:rRNA from 1 species